AAGAGCCCGGAGAUGGAUUCUGAGACACGAAUCCAGGCCCUACGGGGCGCAGCAGGCGCGAAAACUUUACAAUGCGAGAAAUCGUGAUAAGGGAACCCCGAGUGCCCGUAAAUUCGGGCUGUCCAUCAGUGUAAAAAACUGGUGAAGAAAGGGCCGGGCAAGACCGGUGCCAGCCGCCGCGGUAAUACCGGCGGCUCGAGUGGUGGCCACUAUUACUGGGCUUAAAGCGUCCGUAGCUUGGUUGUUAAGUCUCCUGGGAAAUCCAUCGGCUCAACCGAUGGGCGUUCAGGGGAUACUGGCAACCUAGGGACCGGGAGAGGUGAGAGGUACUCCAGGGGUAGGAGUGAAAUCCUGUAAUCCUUGGGGGACCACCUGUGGCGAAGGCGUCUCACUAGAACGGCUCCGACAGUGAGGGACGAAAGCUGGGGGAGCAAACCGGAUUAGAUACCCGGGUAGUCCCAGCCGUAAACGAUGCGCGUUAGGUGUAUCGGUGACCACGAGUCACCGAGGUGCCGAAGGGAAACCGUGAAACGUGCCGCCUGGG
rnacentral:rRNA from 1 species